ensembl:miRNA
UGUAAACAAUUCCUAGGCAAUGUGUAUAAUGUUUGUAAGUCAUUCCUAGAAAUUGUUCACAAU